rnacentral:rRNA from 1 species
AUACGGAGGGGGCUAGCGUUGUUCGGAAUUACUGGGCGUAAAGGGCGCGCAGGCGGUUUGGUAAGUCAGAUGCGAAAGCCCACGGCUCAACCGUGGAAGUGCAUUUGAAACUGUCAGACUUGAGUACUAGAGGGGAAAGUGGAAUUCCCGGUGUAGAGGUGAAAUUCGUAGAUAUCGGGAGGAAUACCGGUGGCGAAGGCGACUUUCUGGCUAGAUACUGACGCUGAGGCGCGAAAGCGUGGGGAGCAAACAGGAUUAGAAACCCCAGUAGUCC